rnacentral:piRNA from 2 species
UCUGGACUCUGAAUCCAGCGAUC